UUGGGCAACUCAAUGACUCGCAAGUUCGACAGGUUGCCUUCCCGUGGUACACUUUGCACUGCAUUUGUGGAGAAGCAAUCUGUGGGGCUUGCUAGUCCUCGAUUUGUUCGA